rnacentral:rRNA from 1 species
CCCUUAGAGUUUGAUCCUGGCUCAGAGUGAACGCUGGCGGCAGGCCUAACACAUGCAAGUCGAACGGCAGCACAGGGGAGCUUGCUCCCCGGGUGGCGAGUGGCGGACGGGUGAGGAAUGCGUCGGAAUCUGCCUUUUCGUGGGGGAUAACGUAGGGAAACUUACGCUAAUACCGCAUGCGACCCUGUCCCGGGAGGGGCUGGGUGAAAGCGGGGGACCUUCGGGCCUCGCGCGGAAAGAUGAGCCGACGCCGGAUUAGCUAGUUGGCGGGGUAACGGCCCACCAAGGCGACGAUCCGUAGCUGGUCUGAGAGGAUGAUCAGCCACACUGGAACUGAGACACGGUCCAGACUCCUACGGGAGGCAGCAGUGGGGAAUAUUGGACAAUGGGCGCAAGCCUGAUCCAGCCAUGCCGCGUGAGUGAAGAAGGCCUUCGGGUUGUAAAGCUCUUUUGUUGGGAAAGAAAAGCUUCCGGUUAAUAACCGGGGGUUAUGACGGUACCCAAAGAAUAAGCACCGGCUAACUUCGUGCCAGCAGCCGCGGUAAUACGAAGGGUGCAAGCGUUACUCGGAAUUACUGGGCGUAAAGCGUGCGUAGGUGGUGGUUUAAGUCUGAUGUGAAAGCCCUGGGCUCAACCUGGGAAUGGCAUUGGAAACUGGAUCACUGGAGUGCGGUAGAGGAUGGCGGAAUUCCCGGUGUAGCAGUGAAAUGCGUAGAGAUCGGGAGGACAU